GCCCGAGCCCGAGCCCGAGCCCGAGCCCGAGCCCGCGCCCGCGCCCGCGCCCGCGCCCGCUGGGCCCCGUGCAGCAGGCAGCGGGAUGGAGCUGGAGCGUCGGCAGGGCUCAGAUGGACAAGAGCCAAGGAGCAGCUGAGUCUGUGCAAAGACAAGAGGUCAACUAGCGGUGACGAGGAAGAGUCAUCAAUCUUCAUCCCCACGACCCCCGACGACCACCACCAGAAUACACUGCGCAAGCGCAGAUGGGAGGAGUUUAUGGAAAUGACUCCUUGGAACUAACUUUAAUACGAAGUGGGGACAGGUUAUGACUAUGUAUAGGCGUGUUGUGAAACUUCAUGCAUAUGUAACUCUUUACUGCAUAUAACUAAAGCAAGUUGCUGCAUCAGGCGCGCAUGCUUUUGGUGGGACUACCCCCCGUGCUGCCCAGCGCUGAAUAAACAUACCUACUUUACAAUCUUA